rnacentral:misc_RNA from 1 species
GGUUAUACCAAGAAUCCAUUUUUCGAGUAAUGCUAGGAUACAAGAACUUGUUGAGAGUACUCGGAGGAUAUUAUCAUAUCCAGUAAAUGGUAGCAACUUUCUACAAAAUCUCUAGUAUAACUCUUGAGAGGCCUUUCACGUGUCAUUUAAAGACUUUUGUACAAAUUGACUGUAAUAUGUUGCUUGAGAUAUACUAUAAUCACAUAUAUCUACUGACUGGGGAAAUAUCAUACACG